GAUGAAGAACGUAGCAAAGUGCGAUAACUAGUGUGAAUUGCAUAUUCAGUGAAUCAUCGAGUCUUUGAACGCAACUUGCGCUCAUUGGUAUUCCAAUGAGCACACCUGUUUCAGUAUCAAAACAAACCCUCUAUUCAACAUUUUUGUUGUAUAGGAAUACUGAGAGCCUCUCGGUCUGUAUAGACCUUGAAUCUCUUGAAAUAAACUAAGGCCUGAACUUGUUUAAAUGCCUGAACUUUUUUUUAAUAUAAAGGAAAGCUCUUGUGAUUAACUCUGAUGGGGCCUCCCAAAUAAACCUUUUUAAAUUUGAUCUGAAAUCAGGUGGGAUUACCCGCUGAACUUAAGCAUAUCAAUAAGCGGAGGA
rnacentral:misc_RNA from 1 species